AGAGUUUGAUCCUGGCUCAGGACGAACGCUGGCGGCGUGCCUAAUACAUGCAAGUCGAACGCUUCUUUUUCCACCGGAGCUUGCUCCACCGGAAAAAGAGGAGUGGCGAACGGGUGAGUAACACGUGGGUAACCUGCCCAUCAGAAGGGGAUAACACUUGGAAACAGGUGCUAAUACCGUAUAACAAUCNNNNNNNNNNGGUUUUGAUUUGAAAGGCGCUUUCGGGUGUCGCUGAUGGAUGGACCCGCGGUGCAUUAGCUAGUUGGUGAGGUAACGGCUCACCAAGGCCACGAUGCAUAGCCGACCUGAGAGGGUGAUCGGCCACAUUGGGACUGAGACACGGCCCAAACUCCUACGGGAGGCAGCAGUAGGGAAUCUUCGGCAAUGGACGAAAGUCUGACCGAGCAACGCCGCGUGAGUGAAGAAGGUUUUCGGAUCGUAAAACUCUGUUGUUAGAGAAGAACAAGGAUGAGAGUAACUGUUCAUCCCUUGACGGUAUCUAACCAGAAAGCCACGGCUAACUACGUGCCAGCAGCCGCGGUAAUACGUAGGUGGCAAGCGUUGUCCGGAUUUAUUGGGCGUAAAGCGAGCGCAGGCGGUUUCUUAAGUCUGAUGUGAAAGCCCCCGGCUCAACCGGGGAGGGUCAUUGGAAACUGGGAGACUUGAGUGCAGAAGAGGAGAGUGGAAUUCCAUGUGUAGCGGUGAAAUGCGUAGAUAUAUGGAGGAACACCAGUGGCGAAGGCGGCUCUCUGGUCUGUAACUGACGCUGAGGCUCGAAAGCGUGGGGAGCAAACAGGAUUAGAUACCCUGGUAGUCCACGCCGUAAACGAUGAGUGCUAAGUGUUGGAGGGUUUCCGCCCUUCAGUGCUGCAGCUAACGCAUUAAGCACUCCGCCUGGGGAGUACGACCGCAAGGUUGAAACUCAAAGGAAUUGACGGGGGCCCGCACAAGCGGUGGAGCAUGUGGUUUAAUUCGAAGCAACGCGAAGAACCUUACCAGGUCUUGACAUCCUUUGACCACUCUAGAGAUAGAGCUUCCCCUUCGGGGG
rnacentral:rRNA from 1 species